GAUGAACGCUAGCUACAGGCUUAACACAUGCAAGUCGAGGGGUAGCAGGGUAGCAAUACCGCUGACGACCGGCGCACGGGUGAGUAACACGUAUCCAACCUUCCCAUAACUCGGGGAUAGCCUUUCGAAAGAAAGAUUAAUACCCGAUAGUACUUUUUCAAGGCAUCUUGAGAAAGUUAAAGAUUUAUUGGUUAUGGAUGGGGAUGCGUUCAAUUAGAUAGUUGGUGAGGUAACGGCUCACCAAGUCUUCGAUGGAUAGGGGUUCUGAGAGGAAGGUCCCCAACAUUGGUACUGAGACACGGACCAAACUCCUACGGGAGGCAGCAGUGAGGAAUAUUGGUCAAUGGGCGAGAGCCUGAACCAGCCAAGUAGCGUGAAGGAUGAAGGUCCUAUGGAUUGUAAACUUCUUUUAUAGUAGAAUAAAGUGAUCCACGUGUGGAUUUUUGUAUGUAUACUAUGAAUAAGGAUCGGCUAACUCCGUGCCAGCCGCCGCUGUAAUAC
rnacentral:rRNA from 1 species